rnacentral:rRNA from 1 species
CCUACGGGCGGCAGCAGUCGAGAAUCAUUCACAAUGGGGGAAACCCUGAUGGUGCGACGCCGCGUGGGGGAAUGAAGGUCUUCGGAUUGUAAACCCCUGUCAUGUGGGAGCAAAUUAAAAAGAUAGUACCACAAGAGGAAGAGACGGCUAACUCUGUGCCAGCAGCCGCGGUAAUACAGAGGUCUCAAGCGUUGUUCGGAAUCACUGGGCGUAAAGCGUGCGUAGGCUGUUUCGUAAGUCGUGUGUGAAAGGCGCGGGCUCAACCCGCGGACGGCACAUGAUACUGCGAGACUAGAGUAAGGGAGGGGGAACCGGAAUUCUCGGUGUAGCAGUGAAAUGCGUAGAUAUCGAGAGGAACACUCGUGGCGAAGGCGGGUUCCUGGACAUUAACUGACGCUGAGGCACGAAGACCAGGGGAGCGAAAGGGAUUAGAUACCCGAGUAGUC